GAUGAACGCUGGCGGCGUGCCUAAUACAUGCAAGUCGAGCGAACAGACGAGGAGCUUGCUCCUCUGACGUUAGCGGCGGACGGGUGAGUAACACGUGGAUAACCUACCUAUAAGACUGGGAUAACUUCGGGAAACCGGAGCUAAUACCGGAUAAUAUAUUGAACCGCAUGGUUCAAUAGUGAAAGACGGUUUUGCUGUCACUUAUAGAUGGAUCCGCGCCGCAUUAGCUAGUUGGUAAGGUAACGGCUUAUCAAGGGAACGAUGCGUAGACGACCUGAGAGGGGGAUCGGCCACACUGGAACUGAGACACGGUCCAGACUCCUACGGGAGGCAGCAGUAGGGAAUCUUCCGCAAUGGGCGAAAGCAUGACGGAGCAACGCCGCGUGAGUGAUGACGGUCUUCGGAUCGUAAAACUCUGUUAUUAGGGAAGAACAAAUGUGUAAGUAACUAUGCACGUCUUGACGGUACCUAAUCAGAAAGCCACGGCUAACUACGUG
rnacentral:rRNA from 1 species